rnacentral:vault_RNA from 12 species
GGACUGGCUUUAGCUCAGCGGUUCCUUCGGCGACUUCAGCUGCGAAUUCCACCCUCUCUGGGCGGAUGGCUGGCUGCAAAUCCACCCCUCCCCUGGGCGGGUGGCUCGAGUCCCGCGGGCGCUCUCCAGUCCUUUU